rnacentral:lncRNA from 1 species
UAGCCUUUGUGGUUUCUCGGGUCUGGUAUAUAUAUAUAUAUAUAAAUAUGAUUAUAUGAAUGAUAUGAGAGACGGGAAUAGGAAGUGAGGUAUAUGAUUAGAUUCACAAUGAUGGAAGAAUAUUCCUUAUAUAUAAAUAUCCAGAUAUGGAAUAUAUUUCCACUGCAUACAAAUGAAGUUGAUUGCUUUAGAUAUUAUUAAUAUAUGUUGGG